rnacentral:rRNA from 1 species
GAGUUUGAUCGUGGCUCAGAUUGAACGCUGGCGGCAGGCCUAACACAUGCAAGUCGAGCGGAUGACGGGAGCUUGCUCCUUGAUUCAGCGGCGGACGGGUGAGUAAUGCCUAGGAAUCUGCCUGGUAGUGGGGGACAACGUUUCGAAAGGAACGCUAAUACCGCAUACGUCCUACGGGAGAAAGCAGGGGACCUUCGGGCCUUGCGCUAUCAGAUGAGCCUAGGUCGGAUUAGCUAGUUGGUGGGGUAAUGGCUCACCAAGGCGACGAUCCGUAACUGGUCUGAGAGGAUGAUCAGUCACACUGGAACUGAGACACGGUCCAGACUCCUACGGGAGGCAGCAGUGGGGGAAUAUUGGACAAUGUGCGAAAGCCUGAUCCAGCCAUGCCGCGUGUGUGAAGAAGGUCUUCGGAUUGUAAAAGCACUUUAAGUUGGGAGGAAGGGCAGUAAGUUAAUACCUUGCUGUUUUGACGUUUACCGACAGAAUAAGCACCGGCUAACUCUGUGCCA